UUUAUUCUUGUCACCAGGUACCGUGAUGGAGAGGUGGUUGGGGCAUUAUAUAGUCGGGAUGUCAUAGUACUUUGAAGUCAUUAGUAUUCUAGAAUGAAGAAUGGAAAGAGGAGAAUGAGCUAAAGCUGCACGUGAGUGAUAGUCCCUGAUGGAGCUGUAGUAGGCCCAUCAUAACAAAAGACUGUUGAUCUAAAGACAGAUGUGAUCAGAAAUGCCUCAGAAGAUGUCUUUUAUGAAUCAGGUGUAUGAGGACUAGUGUGACAAACAAUGUUUGAAAAGUGUAAGAAAUGAUUUGAGAUCCUGAGCUGUGGAGAGCCUGCUUUCAGAACCUGCUGACUGGUGCUUCUCUGACAUCAACUGUAGCUUUGCUAAGAUCAGAGUUCCAAUAUGACCAGGCUCUUGAAAGGGAAGCACUGAAUACAGAGCACAUUUAUCAAGGCAAAAGUGCUUAACUAUGACCUUAAGCACAUGCUGCUGCUUGUUAGUAUAACUGAAGCUACACAAACAUGAUAAAAGAUGUUAACCCAACUUUCAGAAGAGAAGGGUUCAAUAUCCUGCCAUGGUACAGACACAUGGGCAAUCAAUCUGGUGUUUCAUUUCUACAUCUCUGAAAAAAAGACAUCUAUUCACCUAUACUCCAGAGAUCUUAUUCAGUGUCUUCUCAGCAAAACUACAGUCCUCCAGAGUCAAUUUUCCUAAUAGAGUCCUCCCUGACUAGGUUGGACAAAUGUCAUGUCCCCUGGCUCUAUCCAUCUUGUAAUGAAAAUUAGACCUAUUGCCAGCUACACCUUGCUGAUUGCUUCCUACCUGCUGCUAAGGAUAAUUUGUGCAGUGUAAAUGAAGACUUCAGCAGUUGGUGAAAGGAAAAAAGGUACAAGAAAGGGCUGAUGUUCAACAUUUACAAAAGACAGCCAAUAAAGACACA